rnacentral:misc_RNA from 1 species
GAUGAAGAACGUAGCGAAGUGCGAUAAGUAAUGUGAAUUGCAGAAUUCCGUGAAUCAUCGAAUCUUUGAACGCAAAUUGCGCUCCCUGGCAUCCCGGGGAGUAUGCCUGUUUGAGGGUCAGUGUUAAUAAAAAUCGGUUCGUUGCGAAUUUUUUGUGACGUUCCGGAGUUUGGGUUAUCUUAACUUUUUCGGUUAAGAGGCUUAAAAUUGACCUUUUUUUUGCGCAUUCUUUAGACGUACAUAAAUUUUUUUUUUAUUCGUCUAUUCUUAAUGCCAAAAUCUUAUUAGAUGCGACCAUAUCGUGUGGUUUCGUGUCUAUAAAUUUUUCAUGAUUUGACCUCAAAUCAGGUAGGAGUACCCGCUGAACUUAAGCAUAUCAAUAAGCGGAGGA